CAAAGAGCCCAGCCCUCGUUUCCCGUUCGCUGCCUUCGUCCCCGAUUCCUCUCCCUCUUCCUCAUCUGCCGCCGCCACUCACCGAGCCCUCCGCCACAGCCCAGGCACAACCGCCGCACUCUCCAAGAGCGAACUGCAGGGCGCAUGCCACAUCGAUCGAUUUUACCAUGCUAAAAUAAAAAAAAUUACUCCCUCCUCAUUCGCCCUCUCCCUCGUUUUCUCCUCCCGGCGGCUAGGGUUAGCGCGGCCGCCGCCCCAUCCCUGCUCGCCGCCGCCUCUGCUCCAUCGUCCCAUCCCAUCACUUCCGACGUCGGCCACUGGAGAAGGCGCCCCCCUGAGACCCUCUACUUCCCCAAGCCUUAUAUCUUCGAGUUCCAGCCGGCCACCAUGGUGGUUGCAGAGGACGGGAGCAAGGGGAUGGCAUCGAGGGGCUCUGCCCACUUCUUCGUGCGCGGCCGCCGAUGCAGCUCCACCUCCAUCCCCACGCUUGCAGCCGUGGUGGUUCACGGUGCCGUCGCCGUCUUACUUGGCAGGAGCAACGCGCUCGAUGCUACUCCGAUGUUGCCGUCAAGCGCUGCUUCGCCUUGCUUGUCCCAACUCAGCCAUCGCUGGAGGCCUGCACUUCUGUAGCCAUCUUGUUUACGACUGAUUUUGUUUCUCUAUGCCUACAAGGUGUUCUGUGUCCACUUCCACGGCCCCAAUAAUGUCCAUGGUUUGAGACAAACAGACACCUGCUUCAUGAAUGCCUUCAUCACUUGUUUAUGAUAUUAAGGGCUGUGAAAAUUCUGGUCUGCCCAAGAUUGAAAUUGUAACAAUAGGUCAUUUGUGGGGUUAAAAUUGGGAACAUAUUGAAGAAGCAACAAUAUGUUAAUUAACAUGUUAACUUUAAGAAUCGAAUUUUAGGUUUGAAUCUCAUCAGGAUUUUAGAUAAUCCGUCUUACAUGGACCUACUGUCAGUAGUAGCACGAUGGAAUUUGAUAUAUUUAUUGCUGAAUAAAUUCUUCUCACAUUGUAGCUUGACAUAGAAUUUUGAAUGCAGAAUCAAAAUUAGCUUUGUAUUGGCAACAGGUCUGCUUUAGAAACAAGUUCAGAAGUACUCCCUCCAUCAAGUAUAUGCUAUUUCAGGAAUUUAAUAUGCUUGUUUAGUAAAUACAUUUGGAAUCUAGAAGCCUUGAACUGGUUUUGUUUUGCUGAUUAAGUAUUAUAUUUUGUUAAACUUUCAAGCUUUCCAAGUGACAUGCUUGUAAUCUUGCAGAUAGCAUGGGAACAUGAGCAAUUCUUGAGGUUUAGGGUGACUGUACUAAGUCUAUGGAAUUGUCCACACCUCCUGAAUUUUUGGAAAGUGCUGGUUGUUUGUAUGACAAUAGGAUUCCAGAUUCAGUGAUUCGUGGUUUUACUCCUUCCGGUGUCCUCUAACUGGCAUCCAUUGAGCUGCUCUGACAUCGACUACAGCAUGGAUGCUCAAUCUGAGGAUGUACAACUUUCAAGGCGCACGGCAGUUUUGAUCAAUUAUCUGCGUCAACACGGAAAGGCGGCGGAGCGAUCUGGAUAAUAUGCCUGGUGUCGGUUUUCUCGCCAUGCUGCGACCAGCACCUCUACAGUGGGAAAGCACACAUGUACCUACUUAUGGUGCUCUUAACUGAAGCCACCAUUGAACCUUAAAUGGUAUCUGGAUGUUUCUAGCCAGAAGACUCGCAACCUCUACUUAUACAAUGGAUUGACUUUGUUUGUCGGAUGGCUGGCCCUUAUCGUCAUGUCAAUCGAACUCUAAUUGAGGGAAUGGCAGCAAAGGAGAUGUUUCACAAGCACCGACAAAACAUGGAGAUUAUGAUUUGGAAGUAGUCGGGGGUCUGGUCAUGGUACGUCGACAGCAAGAAGACGGAUAUUCUUUUUCUGUAAAACAUGACCCUUUGAUUGAUUUGGGUUCACUACUAAACUUUCUAGUGCUUCCUCAUACGACUACCACCUCCGAUUAAUCUCCUUUGGAUUCAGUUAUGUACUUUUGUUUGUUUCCAACUAUUUUUCACUCGGGUUUUUGUGGGUGUUGGUAGCUGGAAUGCAGAGCAUGAAGUGGUGUAAGGUGGUGUUGAUGUGGGACAUUGCAGCUGCUCCCAGAUCAAUUCAAUGUCCAUUUGAAUAUUUUAGUUCCUUUAUGCCUUUGAUUAUAUAUUUUACUGAAUAAUGGGGUUAUACUUGUGGAGAGUACCUGUUUAUAUUUGUUAUGACUAUUCACCUACAAGAGGAGGCAAUUCA